rnacentral:misc_RNA from 1 species
GGUGAUUGGGUGGGGCGAGCAUGAGCAGAGAAAACCAGAGUGGAUCAGGAGGGGAGAGACACGGUCAGCCAGAGAGAGGGGAUUGGAAUAAGGUUUUCCAUUUAAGAAAUUGAAGACAGAACAUGUUGGAGAUUCAGAUAACUGAGAUGUGAAAAGAAUUUGAAACUGUGUGUAUAGGCAUUGAGUAGUUUGAUUAUAGUAGAUUAUUAGUUUUCACCGUUGAAUCAAACCAAA